rnacentral:lncRNA from 1 species
AAAAACAAACAUAGACAUUCACUUUUACUAUAUUUUUUUUUUUUUCACAUUCACACUACAUAUUAUAAAAAUUCAAAAAAACUAAAUAAAAAUUACAUUAAACAAUUUAAAAUUUACAAAAUGGAGCCCAAAAAAUUCAGGAACAGUUCUAGGAUGCAUUUGUAGGUUCAUGCACUGCCACCGAUGAAGAUAACAAAACCGGUGGAUCGGGAACGUCGUCUUCUUCUCUAUCUUCCUACGCCAGCUGUAAGGAUCACCGUCACCUGUAACAAUAAAAAAUACACACAAACAACAGUCGGUUUUUAUUUUUCUUUCCUUGUCAAAUCUGCUCUCGGUCCUCCCUUUUUCAGAUUUGUUUCUUCUGCAGAGCCCUUCUUUUUAUUCUUUUUUCAUUUCACCUUCUUCUCUGUUUUAGAUGGUCGGCAGUAUGUCAAAGGGGUGGCCGACGGCUGAGUUUUUGUCGUGUUUGCGCAGCUACUGGAGGCCGGUGAGAAUGGUUGGGUCAGCAGAGAGUCGGGAAGUGAGGCUGGAUUUGGGGUUCAGCCGUGUGUGGGGAAGGAGUCGGAGGAAGAGGGAGGAUUUGUCUGGUGAGGACUGGAAGGCAGUGUUCUCGGUGAGGAAGAGGAGCAACUAAGAGGGGAAGGUCUGUGGCAAAGGGGUGUUCGUUUUUGGAGACCGGUGUGCAGGGGGGGAAAUAGAGCUGCUGUGUUUGGGCUGUCUAGGUAUGGCUGGCAGCGAGAAGGGAAAGGAAAUGGUGUGGAAGCAAAAAUCCCAAAGCAGGAGAGAGCGGCGGCUUUGGUUGGUUCUCUGUGGGGGGAGAUUGAGAGAGGAGAGGGAUGAUGGGUAUCUUGGGUUAGCUGGGAGAAGGAAACGACGUUGGGCAGAAAAUGGGGAAAUGGCGUUGGGAGACGGCUCGUUUGGAAAAGGAAAAUGUGUGGUGGCCGGGCGUGUGUGGGGAUGGAGAGGCUGGUGUUGAGAAGGGGAAGCCUGUCUUGUGGCCGGCUAGAGAAAAAAAUCCAAACCAGGGGGGCGGCUAUUUGGUUAGAGAUAGGUUUAGGUUUAGGUUUAGGAUUUUUUUUGCGUUUUUUUUUAAAAUUACUUUUUUUUUUUUUGUGUAUGUGUUGG